UCUCGUCCUCAGUUUGAAUCGCGAUCAGCUGUUGAUAGCAUGUAUCGUAUUUUUGUUUGUGAAUGAGGCGUAUUUCAACGUGAUUUUCACGAAAUCUUUGUGUUAAGUUGAUGUAAUUUUUGCCGGUUUUGUGAAAGUGAUUGAAGUUUGUUUGGGAUAAUUUCAUUGUUGACAGUUUAGUGUGACGGAAUGAGUGCAGCAGAAUUUGGAUAUUAAUACAACAGUGCGUAAACUUGAUUCAGUUCGGUUUUUGUGAGAAUAUAUUUUGGGAUUCAUUUGUGAAAUGUGUUUGAUAAUUGUUGUCAGUUAAUAACAGUCCGUAAACUUGAUUCAGUUCUGUGGAUUUUGUGAGAAUAUAUUUUGGGAUUUAUUUGUGAAAUGUGUUC